CAUUAGUCCUCCCUGAAAAAUCUCUUGUAUCCUGGAGAGCCCAAGCUUCUUCUGUGAUGUCACAAGUGUUGUCAUGACUGCAACUGCCUCUCAGAUAUUCCUUCAGUACCUCUAGGGUUUAGAAAUUGGCGACUAAUGCGGGGUAAACAGCCAUUUGGGAGGGAGAACACAAAGGAUGAAGUGACCAGACAUGGGGAGUAGGAAGCUGGCCUUCUGUCUUGGUAUAAAAAAAGGAAGGAAUACAUGGUCAAUGGGUAAGCUCUUUAAAUAUUGUGUAGGGCUUGACUAGGUUCACUGAAGAGAUCACCUUUAUCUGAGCUUUCCACUUAUGGGAAUCAGGAGCUGGGAGCCUCUCAGAAGCAUCUGGACUUUCCUGCUUCUUAUUUUUCUUGGGAGUCAGACAGUUUAUGUAUUUCAUUUCUUUAUACCAAAUGUCAGGUUUUGGUAGGGCACUCUAGUUUUUCCAAGGAGCUCAUAGCUUUUAUCCUUUUGCUAAGAAGGAAAAGGUCCUAAAGAAGAAAGGUAAGGCAAGUAUUGUGUCCUCAGCACAGAGUAAACUCCUGCAUGCAUUGGAUUCUAAUAAUGCAGUUCGUGUCUGACACGGAGAUGUGGGAAGGAGAAGUGCUUUUAGAUGAAACUUCAUCAUAUCAGUCUUUCCACUUGUAUUACUCUGAAUACCAUUCCCUGACAGUGACCCCUUAAAAUACUGAGUCAAUUGGUGAGAUUAGCUGGCAGAUUUAUUUUCUUUUAUUUCUAUCAUUUUUUUUUUAGUUUUUAAACAAAUUUUAUUGCUUUUUUAAUUGGAUAUUUCUAAAUUUACAUUUAAAAUAUUAUUUCUUUUCCCAGUUUUCAGACUAUAUGAUUCCUUACCGGUCCCCUUACCCUUCUCCUACAACCACCCUUACUGCCCCUGGACAUUCACUUUAAUUGGGAGCCAAACCUAGGCAGGACCAAGGGUUCUCCUUCCAUUGUUGUCCAACAAGGCCAUCCUCUACAACAUAUGCAGUUGGAGACAUAGGUAUGUUCAUGUACAUUUUUUGAACAUUGGUCUACUACCAGAAAGCUCUGCUUCAUUGGCAUGGUUGUUCUUAUGGGUUUGAAAGCACCUUCACCUCUUCUAACCUUUCUCAAAAUCUACCAACAAGAAGUCCAUUUUCAGUUCACUCAUUGUCCACUAGGGUUCAUGUUGGGGUUUGCCCUGUAGUUAUCUGUGUUUGGUACUAAUUCCAAUGCCCCAAGGUCAGCUGCAUAGUCCUGUACUCAGGACUCAGGUUACUUCACCAGAACCACCUGCCUAUUGAAUUUGUGAAGUAUAUGUGAGUGGCAGGAACAGGAUAGAAGGAGGGUUGUCAUGGGAGGAGAAGGAAGAAUGGGCGGGAGAGAAGUUUGAAAGAAGAGGAGAAGACUAGAGGAAAAAAGAGAGAAAGGAAGAUGACAGAGUGAGAAGCCAUGUAUCAACCUGUGGCUUCAAGGUAUCCAGCUAAUGCUUUUGCAUACUCACAUCAUUUUUAUACUGUGAAGUCUCAGGUAGCGGUGUGUUAGUUAUGCCACCAGAAGUUCAGUAGGAUCACUGGACUUAAGGACUUAAGGACACUUGUUUGGCAUCUAGGUUAGUGAUCUUGUUACCUUUAGUCUCAAGGCAGACAUCUCUUUGAUAUCCAUAGCAGUGAAACCUAGCAAAUCAUAGGGGAAUCCAAAUAUCCUCUUGGAGAGCCAUGACUUUCUCUAUGGUCUAAAUGUCCUUUCCUCAGCAACGAGGACAAUUUUUGUAUCCAUAUUAUACCAUAGACAUUUUUAGUAUCCAAAGCAUAACGUCUGUCCAUGUACAAAAUGACAGGCUUCCCUUUUCCACAUUUGACCUCCUGAGUCAGUCUGAUGAAUCAGUCGUGUUCUCUGGGCCUACGUACUUGGCUCUAAGUCUUGAGUGAAAAUAAUUUCAAUUACAGUAACUGUUGAAGCUCCUUGGUAUCUCACUCCUUGUUUAAUGAAAAUACUGCCAACUGUGUUGAUUAUUGCAUUAGUGUCUUUCAUGGGACGGUGUUUGGCAGUAGUUCAUUAGGUCUUUCCACGUAAAAUGGACCAUUGUUGUUACCUCACGACAGUCAGGGAAGAUCAUCUGAGGGUCUACAGCACACAGCAGGGUAACAGGAUUUAUGUCAAGAGUGUUUUUCCAACUACACUCUAGGAUGGUACAGUAAUAGUAUCUGUUAGUGUGCAAAAGGGACAUAUAGAAGCCAGCUUCACAAGAAUACACUUGGAAGGGAAUAGAGAGGCAAAGCUUAGAACAGGGGCAGAAGGAGCACCCAUUCAGAGCAUGCCCCACAUGUAGCCCAUACUCAAACAGCCACCAAACUAGAUAAGAUGAAUGAAGCAGCAAAGAAGUGCAGGCCGACCGUAACUGGAUGUAGAUCUCUCCUGAGAGACACAGCCAGAAUACAGCAAAUACAUAGGCAAAUGCCAGCAGCAAACCACUGCCCUGAGAAGAGGACCCCCAUUGAAGGAAUCAGAGAAAGAACUGGAAGAGCUUGAAGGGGCAUGAGACCCCAAAUGAACAACAAUGCCAAGCAACCAGUGCUUACAGGGACUAAGCCACUACCCAAAGACUAUGCAUGGACUGACCCUGGGCUCCAACCUCAUAGGUAGCAAUGAAUAGCCUAGUAAGGGCACCAGUUGAAGGGGAAGAAGCCCUUGGUCCUGCCAAGACUGAACCCCCAGUGUACAGGAUUGUUGCGGGGAGGUUGGUAAUGGGGGUAGGAUGGGGAGGGGAAAACAAAUAUCGAAAGAGAGGGGGAAGGGUUAGGAGGAUGUUAGCCCAGAAACCGGGAAUAGGAAUAACAAUUGAAAUGUCAAUAAGAAAUACUCAAGUUAAUAAAGAUGAAAAAAAAAUAGAAGCCAGGUUGUGGUGUUCCUUGUAUAAAGGCUUCAACUCUCUGGGAUGAUAGGAGCAUAAAAUGCUGACCCAGAUUUAGCUUCUCUGCUUCUUUCAAAGAAUAGGUGCAGCUAACAUAGCCUUUAGACAAGUGAUCCAUUCUGAGGCUACAGGAUCCAGUUGUAUGGACAGGUGCACUACAAGGUGUUUUCACAGCCAUAAAGUGUUUUUUAAAUCCUUCAAACAGUGCCUUUUCAUCUGUUUCAUGGAAAAACAGAUAAAAACAUUCUGAGGAACCUUGCAAUGUUGGGGUGUAACCAAAACAAACUAUCAAGUUUCAAACUCCAUACCUUCUGUCUCCACGCAGAUUCGUCCUAGUACCCUCAUGUGUUAUGGGCUAUUGGGGCUUUGCUAUUUCUCCAAAACCCUGGUAUUCAAGCAGAGCAAUCCCCACCCACACCAAGAAUAUCUCAAACCUGUCUCGUAAUCUUUGGAGAUGGGACCAGUGGGAUAACAGCAACCAUUCUCUGAUACAGGUUUCUUUUGCCUCCCCCAGAUUUUUGCCAAGCUUGGUGUCCUCUUCAUAUAAAAAGGUGAACUUUCCAGCUCACCCUAGCUCAGUGAUUAUAACUCUUGGACCAGUGUCUCAGUUUCCCUUUUUCAAUUAUUUUGAGUUACAUGAGAGAGGAGAACAUUAUCUAUAUCUUGUAAGAGUGUCAACUUGGGAAACUUCUGAGGCCAGCCACUAUCCCGACUGGAGAAAUUUGAAGUCCUUGGCUGAAUAGGGUCUAAAUUAUUUGCCCAUUUUUACAUCCCUCUGUAACUGUCAUUCAGAAUUGAAUUUUACCUCCUCUGCCAAAUGGAACCUGAAGAAUACAUCUUUCAAGUACAAGACAGUCUGUCUACAUAUUUUCCCUGGAGGAUUAAGAUUUCUGAGUGUAUAUGAGAUAGGAACUAUAGGAGAUCUCAUGCCAGAAGGGAACAGGAAGAAGUGGAGACAAUCUGACAUGAUCAAUAACAGGUGAGUUAUUAUCCCCUUGCAAACGUUAAUGGAAUGUUUGCUGCUUCAGAGACAAUAGGGAGUUUUCCUUUUGCUACUUUGAAUGUUAUCUUCUGAUCAGGUAAUUGUCUUAGGAGAUUAUUGAGGACUGAAUAUCAAUCCAGUGACCUGUAAGAACUCAAUUGUUUUUCCACAAUUUUAAGUUUUACUGCAGACUCCUGGAGUGUAGUAGCCUGGGCCCCAUUACUCUUCUAACUGUUGUACUCAAUUUUCCUUUUACUUCAAGUUACAGGACAUAUUUUUUCAAUGUACACCUUAUUUGCAUGAGGCAUGAUUGUCUUUCUCCAAUGGUUGUUUGGUAGUCUUCUGGCCCUUUUCUUGUUUGUUUCAUAAAACAUGUUUUUCUUCCAGAUUUACUGUUAGGAUUGCCACUAUUGGCCUUGGUAAGUCUCUUGUCCUCUGGCUCUCAGUCAAAUCUCUAUUUUCCCACUCAUUUUAAGCUACCACUAAACACUGAGACUCACCAAUACCUGCACAUCUCUCUAAUGUUUUUACAUCAAAUAUCUGGUGCCAACUGAGUGACAAAAGCACUUUUGAACAUCUGCCUAUGCCCAGGGCCGCUGGAACUAUUGGUGUAGCUAAAUGAUAAAUCCAUAAAAGUAUACUAGAAAAGAAUGUUUUUCUGAUGUACCAUGUGUGAACUCACUUAUUUUUUAAAGGUUUUCUGUCUUCUGAGCUGCUGCAUCGAGCCCAGCCAGAAAGUCUGGAAAUAGAUGACCAGCACCACAGUACCUUGGUCAAGGUCAGAAUCCUAAGGGAGGUGUGAGGAAUGGAAAAUGACUCUCAAUACAAUUCUUGUAAUCAGUCAGAGAUCCAUAUAUGGAUGCAGUACCACAUUUUUAUUUUCCAACAAUUUUCACUCCCUCUCUUCUGAUAUGAACAGGGCGGCCAGUAAUUGUUGGCAAUCAUUGUCAUUGUGCUGAUGAACAUAAAAAACAUUUUCUAAGAUAGAGAUGAGUGUCUGAGUUUUCUCAGAGAAAGAACGUUUCUGUUUUCUCUAGUAGUAUUGGUCACUUGUCCUGAAGGAAAUACAUAUGAUAACUCAGGAUAGGGCCUCCUUACUCAGAUCUUUUGUUCCUAAGUGAAAAAGAUCAGAGGCAAACUGGAGGAAAUAAUUGCAGGAACUGCACAGAUUUAAGCCAUAUUCGUGUGUUCAGGCCACAAAGAGCAUAGUUGGAUCAACUGUAGGUAUGCAAGAGACACUUCAGGAGAAGAAGAGGAAAGGGUACUUGGGCAUGGCUGAGGCACAGCAUGAAGGCACCAAUCCUAAAGAGAAGGAGGAUAGGUUAGUUCUUCCUCAUCUUAAUAGAUGUGUAGAAUUUUUAAUGUUUUUUCACUUGAGGCUUGAUUACUGCAAAACUGAUAUAAUUUAUGUAUCUUUAUUUAAAUUUUAAUUGUUCUUCCCUUUCCCCAUUUCACCUUCUGGAACCAACUAUCGUAUCCCUCUUCCCCUGUUUCUAUGAGGGUGCUCCUUAUACACCUAUCCACCCACUCCUUCCCACCUCCAUUCCCUGACAUACCCCUACUCUGAGAUAUUGAGUCUUGACAGGACAAAGGACCUCUCCUCCCAAUGAUGCCUGACAAGUACAUCCUCUUCUACAUAGAUGGCAAGAAUCAUAGGUCAAUCUCUGUGUAACCUUGGGAUAGUUGUUUGGUCCCUGUUAUAUCCUGGGUGAAGAUUAUUUAUAAAGUUAUCACAGAUAUAAUUUUAAGGAAACAGGUGCAAGCCAGAGAGGAACCUGUCAUUAUCCACCUAAGGACACAUCUAUGUAAGGAAACUAAUGAGAAUGUCCAGGAGUGCUUAUGACACCCAGCAAUACUUCUCCUCUUUUCCAGUGGUUUUAUGUCCCUGCACUCAACCAUUCGACGUCAAAAACAAAACGAAACAAAACAAAACAUUCUAACAUAUAGAAUCUAAACACAAUUCCUUGUCUUUAUAGGUCUUCAGGAAAUAGUAAAGAUAAUAUGGCAAAGGAGUGAGCUGCUUAUUAUAUUUAAUCCAUAAUUCUCAAUUCACAAUGACAAAUAACAGAAUCAUCAGGAGGACAGAGAUAGACAACACUAGAACAAAUAAAUGAAUAUAAGAGACAAAUUAAUGGUGGCUACAACACACUCAUACACUUGGGUAAAGGGCCAUUUGGUGACAUCUCACUAAAACUUUAAUGUAUUUUACCAGCAGCAAAAAUUUACCUUCACUAUGAGUUCAAACAGAAGGUGCCAUACCCAGUAUUGCUUCUGGAAGUGACUAAAUAGUUGGCAAUUUCUAUAGGAAAUUUAGACCAGGGUAUCACAGGGGCCUCAACUGCUGAGUUGAGAUCUUUGCUUGGUUCCCGGUUGAAUGCCUCAGGUUGCACUCUUGGAAGAAAUCUCCACAAAUCAGGGUCAAAGUCCAUGAUGAAAUGUAUAAGGUGCUCAAACUGGUUAGGAUUUCAAAUAGAUGAUGCUGUGUCUUCAUAAUAUUGUAGGGUAAAAAUUGAAAGACCAUUCAAUAUGACCAAGACUUGGAGGGAAACAUUUUCAAUAGACUAACUCUAAAUGCAAAUCACCAGAUUUCAUUUUAAAUACAAAGCAUACAAAAAAAAAAAAAACAUCCUGGUUUGACUGAUGCAGGGGGAAACAAGAACGCAGUUUAACAAGAGUAUAGAACAUGCAGUCAGCUAGGUCAUUUUGACUCUCAUUUUCUAGAAAAGUGUUGUGUGCUCUCCCAUAAAACUUUUCAGGACAAGAGGUAGAAACCGGAGACAGAUGCAUGUGGGAAAAGAUGGAGAAAUCUUUACCCACAUAAUCAAUGUAAAAAGAAAAUAGCUAAACCCAUGCGGAAUGACAAAGGGUGCAAAUCCAUCAGGAAUUUAGAUUGUUAUCUAAUGAGGUGCUUCUUAUGGGUGAAGAAAUAAGACAGGGUAGUGAAGAAGGUAUUUACACAUGGUUGUCUUUAUAACAAUAACAAGUUGUAGAAAAAUGAUUAAUAAUUGAAAUCAAUAAUUUCAAUUUUUGUUAAUUUUUUGUAUUUUGUUAACAAAGUUUUUCAGUAGAUUUUUUUUGUUUUCUUUCAUCAAUUUCUUUAUCAUGCAAUAUAAUACCAAUUAAGACAAUAUGAAUGGUUUACAUAUUCGUUUCAAAUUUGAGGUACUAAAUAAAUGUGCCGUAGAAUACAUUUCCAAUGAUUCUAAAUAUGUAACGUGUUUGAGAUUGUAGAAUUGAUGAUUAUAUCACAUCAGUAUAUCUAUGAUUUGGUUAAAUGUAUAUUGCAUUUCCAUUUGUAUGUAGGAUCAUUCUAUUUUAUCAAACCACCAUUAUCAUCUGGAUAUUAUUUUCAUGUAUAAAUUAUUCACAGCAUAAGGAAAUAUGAUGUUGCUUCAGGUUGACAAGAAGUAGAGUCGUGAUGGCUAUUUUUUUGUUGCGUACUUGACUACAACUGGAAUUAUCUAAAACCACAAAAUAAUGGGCAUACCUUUGAGGGACUUCCACUUUCAUUCAAAGUGAGAAGAUCUAGUUCUAGUAAGAAUUUUUUAAAUAUAAAAACACUCCCUGAAUCCAGGUAUUUAUUCCAGCUACAAUGUGGGCAAUUCUUCCUAUUGGAAGCCUAUAUAAUGACAUCGAAGAAAUACGUUUUUGCUCUUAUCCUGCUUACUGUGUCUUGCUAGCAAGUCUAUUUCAUUACUGGCAUUAAAUCUUUUUUUUAAUCUUUAUUAACAUGAAUAUUUUCUUAUUUACAUUUCGAUUAUUAUUCCCCUUCCCAGUUUCUGAGCCAACAUCCCCCUAACGCCUCACCCUCCCCUUCUAUAUGGGUGUUCCCUUCCACAUCCUCCCACAUUUCCACACUCCCCCCAACUAUCACGUAUACUGGGGGUUCAGUCUUAGCAGGACCAAGGGCUUCCCAUUCCACUGGUGAUCUUACUAGACUAUUCAUUGAUACCUAUGAGGUCAGAGUCCAGGGUCAAUCAUGUAUAGUCUUUGGGAAGUGGCUUAGUCCCUGGAAGCUCUGCUUGGUUGGCAUUGUUGUUCAUAUGGGGUCUCCAGUUCCUUCAAUCUCUUCCAGAUCUUCCUCCGAUUCCUUAAACGUUCCUGUUCUCAGUUCAGUUGUUUGCUGCUGGCAUUCGCCUAUGUAUUUGCUGUACUCUUGGUGUGUCUCUCAGGAGAGCUCAACAUCCAGUUCCUGUCAGCCUGCACUUCUUUGCUUCAUCCAUCUUGUCUAAUUGGGUGGCUGUGUAUCUUUGGGACACAUGUGGGACAGGCUCCGAAUAUACGUUCCUUCUACAUUUGUUCUAAAUUUUGCCUCCCUAUUCCCUGCCAAGGGUAUUCUUGUUCCCCUUUUAAAGAAGGAGUGAAGUAUUCACAUUUUGAUCAUCCUUAUUGAGUUUCAUGUCUUCUGUGCGUCUAGGCCAAUUCAGGCAUUUGGGCUAAUAUCCACUUAUCAAUGAGUGCAUACCAUGUGUGUUUUUCUGUGAUUGGGUUACCUCACUCAGGAUAUUUUUGAGUUCCAUCCAUUUGCCUAUGGAUGUCAUAAAGUUCUUGUUUUUGAUAGCUGAAUAAUAUUCCAUUGUGCAGAUGUACCACAUUUUCUGUAUGCAUGGUUCUGUUGAAGGUCAUCUGGGUUCUUUCCACAUCUUGACUAUUAUAAAUAAUGCUGCUAUGAACAUAGCGGAGCAUGUUUCUUUGUUAUAUGUUGGGGCAUCUUUUGGUUACAUGCCCAAGAGAGGUAUAGCUUGGUCCUCAAGUAGUAUAAUGUCCAACUUUCUGAGGAACCUCAAGACUGAUUUCCAGAAUGGUUGUACCAGUCUGCAAUCCCACCAACAAUGGAGGAGGUUUCCUCUUUCUCCACAUCCUCUCCAGCAUCUGCUGUCACCUGAGUUUUGAUCUUAGCCAUUCUUACUGGUGUGAGGUGAAAUCUAAGGGUUGUAUUGAUUUGCAUUUCCCUCAUGACUAAAGAUGUUGAACAUUUCUUUAGGUUUUUCUCAGCCAUAAGGCAUUCCUCAGCUAUGAAUUCUUUGUUUAGCACUGAAACCUAUUUUUAAUAUGGUUAUUUGUCUCCCUGUGGUCUAACUUCUUGAGUUCCUUGUAUAUUUUGGAUAUAAGCACUCUAUAUGUUGUAGAAUAGGUAAAGAUCUUUUCCAAAUCUCUUGGUUGUUGUUUUGUCCAAACAAUAGUGUCCUUUGCCUUACAGAAGAUUUGCAGUUUUAUAAGAUCCCAUUUGUCGAUUCUUGAUCAUAAAGCAUAAGCCAUUGGAGUUUUGUUCAGAAAAAUUUCUCCAGUGCCCACGUGUUCAAACCUCUUCCCCAUAUUCUCUUCUAUUAAUUCAAGUAUAUCAAGAUUUUAAAUACAGUUUCUUGAUCCACUUCAAUCUGAGCUAUGUACAGGGGGAUAAGAAUGGCUCAAUUUGCAUUCUUGACUUCCAGUUGAACCAUUUCUUGAAAAUGCUAUUUUUUUUUUUGGUCAUUGGAUGGAUUUAACUUCUUUGUUAAAGCCCAAGUGAGUAUAGGUGUGUGGGUUUAUUUCUGUUUCUCAAUACUUUUCAAUUGAUCGUACUGCCUGUCCUUGUACUGAUAUCGGACAAUUUUUAUCACCAUUGCUCUGAACUACGACUUGAGGUCAGAAAUGGCUAUUCCCCCAGGAGUUCUUUUAUUGUUGUGGAUAAUUUUUGCUCUCCUCAUUUGUUUUUUCAAAUGAAUUUGCAAAUUGCUCUUUCUGACUCUAUUAAGAGCUGAGGUCAAAUUUUGAUGUGGAUUUCAUUGAAUCUGGAGAUUGCUUUUGGCAAGUAGCCACUUUUCAAUAUUAAUCCUCCAAGUCCAUUUGCAUGGGAGAUCUUUCCAUUUUUUGAGACCUUCUUAAAUUUCCUUCUUUCAGACAUUUGAAAUUCUUGUAACACAGAUUCUUUGUUUGCUUGUUCAGAGUCACACUGUGGUUUUUACAUUAUUUGUGGCUACUGUGAAGGGUGGCAUUUUUCUAACUUAUUUCUCAGACUCUUUAUCCUUUAAUAGAGGAAGGCUACUGAUUUGUUUGAGUUAAUUUUAUUUCAAAUCAUUUUGCUGAAUUUGUUGAUCAGGCUUAGUAGUUGUCUGGUUGAACUUUUCAAGUCAUUUAGUUAUGCUAUCAUGUGAUCUGAAAAUAGUGAUAUUUUCACUUCUUCAUUUCCAAUUUCUAUCCCUCUGACCUCCUUUUUUGGUCUGAUUGUUCUGGCUAGGACUUCAAGGAGUGUAUUGAAUUAGUAUGGAGAGACUGUAUAGCCUUGCCUAUUACUUGAUUUUAGUGGGAUUGCUUCAAGUCACUUUCCAUUUUGUUUAAUGUUGGCUACAUGUUUGCUGUAUAUUGCUUUUACUAUGUUUAGCUAUAGAACUUGAAUUGCAGUUCUUUCCUAGACUUUUGACAUGAUGUCGUGAAGAAUAUUGUCAAAUGCUCUCAGCAUUUGAUGAGAUGAUCAUGGGGUUUUAUUCUUUGAGGUUUUUUUUUUUCAUAUAAUGGAUUUCUUUGUUAGGUUUCCAUGUAUUUAGCCAUCCUUGCACUCUUGAGAUGAAGAUACUGGAUCAUGUCAUAAGGGUUGUUUUGAUGUGUUCUUGGAUUCAGUUUGUGAGAACUUUGUAGAAUAUUUUCUCCUCAAUAUUCAUAAGGGAUCUUUUUUCAGAAGCUGUCUUUCUUUGUUGCAAUUUUUAUAUGGUUUAUUUAUAGUCAUAAUUGUGGCUAUAUAGAAGGAUUUGGGAAGUGUUCCUUUCUGUUUCUGUGUCUGUUUUGUGGAAUAGUUUAGACAGUAUUGCUGUUAGGGUUCUAUGAAAGUCUUUUUCUAUUCUGCACUAAACCCAUCUGGUCCUGGGCAUUUUUUUAAUUGGAAGACGUUUAGUAACUGCUUCUAUUUCUUUAGGAGUUAUGGGAUUGUUCACAGGUUAAAUUAUCCUGAUUUAACUUUGGUAACUUGUAUUUGUGUAGAAAGUUGUCCAUUUCCUCCAGAUUUUCCAGUUUUGUUGAAUAUAGGAUUUUGAAGUAGGAUCUGAUGAUUUUUUGAAUUUCCUCAUUAUCAGUGGUUAUGUCUCCUCUUUGUUUCUGAUUUUGUUACUUUGGAUUUUGUUACUCAGUGCCCUCUGCUGAGUCUGGCCAAGGGUUUAUCUAUCUUGUUGAAUUUUUCAGAGAAAGAAAUCAGUUCUUGCUUUUGAUGAUUCUUUGUAUGGUCCUUUUUGUUUCUAAUUGUUUGAUUUCAGCCCUGAGUUUGAUUAUUUCCUGCCUUAUAUUGUAUUUGCUUUUGUUCUGUUCUAGAGAUUUUAGGUGUGCUGUCCAAUUGCUAAUAUAUGCUCUCUCCAGAUUUUUUUUUUGGAGCCAGUCAGAGCUUUUAGAUUUCAUCUGAGCACUGCUUUGAUUGUGUACCAUAAUUUUGUGCCUUCAUUUUUAUUAAAUGCUAAAAAAACUUUAAUUUAUUUCAUUAUUUCUUCCGUGACCAAAUUGUCAUUGAGCAAAAUUUUGUUCAACUUCCAUAUAUGUGUGGGCUUUCUGUAAUUAUUUUUCUUAUUUAAGACCAACCUUAGUCUGUGGUGAUCUGAUAAGAUGCAUGGGAUUUUUUAAUCUUCUUGUAUCUGUUGAGGCCUCUUUUGUGACUGAAUAUAGGGUGAAAUUUGGAGAAGCUACCAUGAGGUCUUAAGAAGAAUGUGUGUGUGUGUGUGUGUGUGUGUGUGUGUGUGUGUGUGUGUUUGUGUGUGUGUGUGUGUGUGUGUGUGUAUGUUUGUUUUAGGAUUAAAUGUUCUAUAAAUAUUUGUUAAAUCCAUUUGGUUCAUGACUUUCUUUUUUUCGGAGCUGGGAACCAAACCCAGAGCCUGGCGCAUGCUAGGCAAGCGCUCUACCACUGAGCUAAAUCCACAACCCCUGGUGCAAGACUUUUGUUAGUUUCUCUAUAUGUCUUUGUUUCUGUUUCCGUGAUUUGUCCAUUGAUGAGAGUGUGUGGUGGAAAUCUCUUACUAUUAUCGUGAGAGAUGCAAUGUGUUCUUUCAUUUUUAGUAAGGUAUCUUUUAUGAAUAUAGGAUGCCUUGCAUUUGGAGCAUAGGUAUGGGGGACUGAGAAUUCAUAGUGGUGGAUUUUUCCUUUGAUGAAUAUGAAAUGUCCUUCCUAAUUUUUACUGAUAUCUUUUAGUUGAUAGUUAAUAUUAUUUGAUCUUAGAAUGACUACUGCAACUUCUAUCUUUGAACCAUUUCAUUGGAAAGUUGUUUUCAAUCCAUUCACUCUGAAGUAGUGUCUGUCUUUCCCACUGAGAAAUAUUUCCUGUAUUCAGCAAAUUGUUGGGUCCUCUUUACAUAUCGUUUCUGCUGUUAGACUAUGUCUUUUCUUUGGGGGAAUUGAGUCCAUUAAGGUUGAGAGAUAUUAGGGAGCAAUGAUUGUUGUUUCCCAUUAUUUUUGUUGUUAGAGCUGGAGUUAUGUUUGUGUGGCAAUCUUCUUUUGGGUUAGUCGAAAUUACUUUCCUGAGGUUUUGGGUUUAUUUUCUCACCUUGUCUUCGAGUUUUCCAUCUACUGUCCAUUGUAGUACUGUAUUGUGUAAAUUUUGUUUCUUCAUGCAAUGUCUUUGUUUUUCCAUCUAUUCUUUUUGAGAGUUUUGCUGAAUACAGUAGAUUGAUUUGGCAUUUGCUUUCUCUCAGUGUUUUUUUUUUCACAUAUGUACAGGAUUUUGGCUUUCAUUUUCUCUGGCACGAAGUCCGGUGCCAUUCUGAUAGUUCUGCCUUUAUAUUGUCCUUUAACCUUUCUCUUACUGCUUUUAAUAUUUGUUCUUUGCUUUCUGUAUUUGGUGUUUUGACUAUUAUGUGAGAGGAGGACUUUCUUUUCUUCUCCAAUCUAUUUGGAGUUCUGUAUAUUUUUUUAGUAUUUACGGGCCAUUUCUUACUUUAGGUUCUGGAAGUUUUCUUCCAUAAUUUUGCUGAAUAUAUUUUUUGGCCCUUUAACGUGAUAAUCUUCCGUCUCUUCUAUACUUACUAUCCUUAGGUUUGAUCCUGUCGUUUUACCUCAGAUUGACUGGAAGUUUGGGGUUAGGAGCCGUUUGUGUUUCACAUUAUCUUUGAUGGUUGUUUCAAUGUUUUCUACGGUGUCUUCUGACCCUGACAUUUACUCUUCAAUCCUUAGUAUUCUUUGGUAUUGCUUGUGUUUCUGACUCUUCAUCUCUUCCCUAGGUUUUCAAUCUCUAGGGUUGUCUCCCUUUGUUCCUUUUUAUUGUUUCUAUUUCCAUUUUUAGGGCCUGGAUUAUUUUGUCCAUUUCCUUCACCUGUUUCAUUGUGUUUUCCUGUAAUUCUUUAAGGAAUUAUUGUGUUUCCUUUUAAUGGGCUUCUACUUGUUUUCCUGUGUUGUCUGUAUUUCUUUACGGUCCUUAAAGUCCUCUAAUAUCACCAUGAACUGUGAUUUUAAAUAAAAGUCUUGCUUUCAAAGUUUGCUGACCCCCAUCCAGGACUUGCUCUGGUGAGGGAACUUGGUUCUGAUUAUAUCAAGUGUCCUGGGAUUCUGCUUGUUACUUUCUUAACCUUGCCUCUCGCCAUCGUUUUAUCUGUGGUGUUAGCUUGUCUUGCUGUCUAUGACAGUGGCUUGAGACUCCUGAAGUCUGCCUGUGGGCACUCGGGAGACUGUUUUUUUUUUUUCCCCCAGUGGGAUAUGUGUGUGAUAGAGACCUGUGUCAGAGUGUCAGCUAUUGGCACAGGCAGAAACUAGACAGAUCCUGUCCUGGACUGCUCAUAGGUUCCUUUGUCCAGUGGGCUCCAGGAAGGUAAUUCUUGGGCUAGGAAUGUGAGCAGAAUGGUGGUCUCCAUUGUGGUCUCAGGAUAGUUUGCACUCUGGGAAUCCCACUCCCUUCCAGCGUGAUGAUGUUUUUCUUUUUUCAUUCAUUUUUUAACGAACUAGCUAAAUAAGUAAUAGAUGCAUGUAUGUAUGUAUGUAUGUAUGUAUGUAUGUAUGCAUGUAUGUAUUGAUUUAUUCACUUUACAUCAGAGUUGCUUCCCC